rnacentral:rRNA from 1 species
CCUACGGGUGGCAGCAGUGAGGAAUAUUGGUCAAUGGCCGAGAGGCUGAACCAGCCAAGUCGCGUGAGGGAAGACGGUCCUAUGGGUUGUAAACCUCUUUUGUCGGGGAGCAAAGCGAGUCACGUGUGACUCAUUGAGAGUACCCGAAGAAAAAGCAUCGGCUAACUCCGUGCCAGCAGCCGCGGUAAUACGGAGGAUGCGAGCGUUAUCCGGAUUUAUUGGGUUUAAAGGGUGCGCAGGCGGAGGUGCAAGUCAGCGGUAAAAUGGCGGGGCUCAACCCCGUACUGCCGUUGAAACUGCAGCCCUUGAGUGCGCGAGAAGUAUGCGGAAUGCGUGGUGUAGCGGUGAAAUGCAUAGAUAUCACGCAGAACUCCGAUUGCGAAGGCAGCAUACCGGCGCGCGACUGACGCUCAUGCACGAAAGCGUGGGUAUCGAACAGGAUUAGAUACCCGAGUAGUC